UUCCUGGUGGUCUAGUGGUUAAGACUCUGCUUUCAAUGCAGGAGGCACAGGUUCAAUCCCGGGUCAGGGAA
rnacentral:tRNA from 1 species